rnacentral:rRNA from 1 species
CCUACGGGAGACUGCAGUGAGGAAUAUUGGUCAAUGGACGAGAGUCUGAACCAGCCAAGUAGCGUGAAGGAUGACUGCCCUAUGGGUUGUAAACUUCUUUUAUAUGGGAAUAAAAUGUUCCACGUGUGGGUUUUUGUAUUUACCAUAUGAAUAAGGAUCGGCUAACUCCGUGCCAGCAGCCGCGGUAAUACGGAGGAUCCGAGCGUUAUCCGGAUUUAGUGUGUUUAAAGGGAGCGUAGGUGGCUUGUUAAGUCAGGUGUGAAAGUGUGCGGCUCAACGGUAAAAUUGCAGUUGAAACUGGCAGUCUUGAGUACAGUAGAGGUGGGCGGAAUUCGUGGUGUAGCGGUGAAAUGCUUAGAUAUCACGAAGAACUCCGAUUGCGAAGGCAGCUGACUGGACUGCAACUGACACUGAGGCUCGAAAGUGUGGGUAUCAAACAGGAUUAGAUACCCGAGUAGUC